GCCGGGAUAGCUCAGUGGUAGAGCAACGGUUUCGUAAACCGUAGGUCGCGGGUUCAAUCCCCGCUCCCGGCUCCA
rnacentral:tRNA from 1 species